CCUACGGGAGGCAGCAGUGAGGAAUAUUGGUCAAUGGUCGGGAGACUGAACCAGCCAAGCCGCGUGAGGGAAGAAGGUACAGCGUAUCGUAAACCUCUUUUGUCAGGGAACAAAGACGGGGACUCGUCCCCGGAUGAGGGUACCUGAAGAAAAAGCAUCGGCUAACUCCGUGCCAGCAGCCGCGGUAAUACGGAGGAUGCGAGCGUUAUCCGGAUUUAUUGGGUUUAAAGGGUGCGCAGGCGGUCUGUUAAGUCAGCGGUAAAAGCCCGGGGCUCAACCCCGGCGAGCCGUUGAAACUGGCGGGCUCGAGUUGGAGAGAAGUAGGCGGAAUGCGCGGGGUAGCGGUGAAAUGCUUAGAUAUCGCGCAGAACCCCGAUUGCGAAGGCAGCGUGCCGGCUCCACACUGACGCUGAGGCACGAAAGCGUGGGUAUCGAACAGGAUUAGAUACCCGAGUAGUC
rnacentral:rRNA from 1 species